rnacentral:rRNA from 1 species
GUGGGGAAUUUUGGACAAUGGGCGCAAGCCUGAUCCAGCCAUGCCGCGUGCAGGAUGAAGGCCUUCGGGUUGUAAACUGCUUUUGUACGGAACGAAAAGACUCUUUCUAAUAAAGAGAGUCCAUGACGGUACCGUAAGAAUAAGCACCGGCUAACUACGUGCCAGCAGCCGCGGUAAUACGUAGGGUGCGAGCGUUAAUCGGAAUUACUGGGCGUAAAGCGUGCGCAGGCGGUGAUGUAAGACAGAUGUGAAAUCCCCGGGCUCAACCUGGGAACUGCAUUUGUGACUGCAUCGCUGGAGUGCGGCAGAGGGGGAUGGAAUUCCGCGUGUAGCAGUGAAAUGCGUAGAUAUGCGGAGGAACACCGAUGGCGAGGGCAAUCCCCUGGGCCUGCACUGACGCUCAUGCACGAAAGCGUGGGGAGCAAACAGGAUUAGAUACCCGGGUAGUCC